rnacentral:rRNA from 1 species
AACAAACGCUGGCGGCGUGCCUAAUACAUGCAAGUCGAACGGGUAGCAAUACCAGUGGCGCACGGGUGAGGAAUACAUAGAUAAUCUGCCUUCGAGUCGGGGAUAACCAGUCGAAAGAUUGGCUAAUACCGGAUAAGACCACAAGAUCUGCGGAUCUAGGGGUUAAAGGUUUUUCGCUUGAAGAUGAGUCUAUGCGAGAUUAGCUAGUUGGUGAGGUAACGGCUCACCAAGGCGACGAUCUCUAACUGGUCUUAGAGGAUGAUCAGUCACACUGGAACUGAGACACGGUCCAGACUCCUACGGGAGGCAGCAGUAGGGAAUAUUGCGCAAUGGGGGAAACCCUGACGCAGCGACGCCGCGUGAGUGAUGAAGGCCUUCGGGUCGUAAAGCUCUGUCGUAUGGGAAUAACACAAUGAAUGUACCAUGCAAGAAAGGAUCGGCUAACCUCGUGCCAGCAGCCGCGGUAAUAC